GUGUGCAUUGCUGUAAUAUAUAGCGUGCAGUAUGCAGUGAAGUGUGUAGUACGCAGUAUGUAAUAUAUAGUGUGCAGUGUAUAGUGUGCAGUAUGUAAUAUAGUGUGCAGUAUAAAGUGUGCAGUGUAUAGUGUGCAGUGUAUAGUGUGCAGUGUAUAGUGUGCAGUGUGCAGUGUAUAGUGUGCAGUGUGCAGUGUAUAGGGUGCAGUGUAUAGUGUGCAGUGUAUAGUGUGCAGUAUGUAAUAUAUAGUGUGCAGUGUAUAGGGUGCAGUGUAUAUAGUGUGUAAUAUAUAGUGUGCAGUGUGUAGUAUAUAGUGUAAUAUAGUGUGCAGUGUGUAAUAUAUAGUGUGCAGUGUGUAAUAUAUAGUGUGCGUUGUGUAAUAUAUAGUGUGCAGUGUGUAGUAUAUAGUGUGCAGUGUGUAGUAUAUAGUGUGCAGUGUGUAGUAUAUAGUGUGCAGUGUGUAGUAUAUAGUGUGUAAUAUAUAGUGUGCAGUGUGUAAUAUAUAGUGUGCAGUGUGUAAUAUAUAGUGUGC
ensembl:lncRNA